UACGUAGGGUGCAAGCGUUAAUCGGAAUUACUGGGCGUAAAGCGUGCGCAGGCGGUUGUGCAAGACAGAUGUGAAAUCCCCGGGCUCAACCUGGGAAUUGCAUUUGUGACUGCAUCGCUGGAUGCGGCAGAGGGGGAUGGAAUUCCGCGUGUAGCAGUGAAAUGCGUAGAUAUGCGGAGGAACACCGAUGGCGAAGGCAAUCCCCUGGGCCUGCACUGACGCUCAUGCACGAAAGCGUGGGAGCAAACAGG
rnacentral:rRNA from 1 species